ensembl:snRNA U6 U6 spliceosomal RNA
UAAGUAAAUAAUUAAAAUGAAAUUGGAAUGAUACAGAGAAGAUUAGUAGCAUGGCACCUGUGCAAGGAUGACACGUAAAUUCUGAAGCGUUCCAUUAAAAAUAUAU